UCUUGGAAGAUCAAAUCUAAAUGAAAUGAUGGAAUACCAAGAAAGGGUCUCUACACAAGAAAUGAAUGACUUUGGAGUAGAGAGCAGCGAGAACAGGAUCCAACCCAGCAGCCCAAAAGGCAAAGCCAUGUCUACUGAAGGAAUGGUAAUACAUGAAUGGUUUGCUGAUGGCACUUUGGACUGAUGUGGUCUGAAGUUCUCUGCAGGCUUAAGUGACUUUCCCUCCUCUUCCUGAAAUAAGAGCAGCAAAGUCCCUCAGAAGAUCCUCAUUACAGAGGAUUUAUUCAAGAUUUUGCAUUUCCAUCUGCAGUCUGAACCUCUUCAGUGGUUCACUGCCUCGUGUGGUGUGUGAGGUACUUCAGAAGUAAGGUACUAAAUCAAAUAAACCAUUUUAUAGCUGUGUUGCAGAGUUAAAUGGGAGCGGCUUG